AAAAUUGAAUUCGACGUGGUCCACCGUGGCUCUUACAAUAUAACUGAUUGCGCUGCCGAACUCAUUAAUUGUUGGGAAAUUAUUAGGCCAGAUAUAAUAUGUGACUACGAAGAACGAUACUACGAGUCUGUGUGUGGAGCCCUGCGCAAGCACUGCAGUGGCAAAUUUGGAGCAGUCGAUGUCAACUACGGCAACAUCAAGCCAUUUUCAUUAUCAUCAUUGGUAUGCGAGAGUCACCAUAUAUACACGCGUCGUUACGUCAGUAUACCCCGAAACGAUUCUAGAGCUAUGGCUA